rnacentral:lncRNA from 1 species
GGCCAGCAGUUAUUUCUUUAAAAGUAUAUAAUAAUGAUGCUUUGUGGUAAUUUUCAUGCUUGUAUCAUCAUUUGCACAAUUCCCUCGAUUUUGCUUGCUAAUAUCUUCCACUAUGAGGACAGGUUGUUCGUAUGGGGUAGUACAAACUCCGUUCAAGCAGAGUUCGCUAUGCAAAUUAGUCAUCACACCAACGACAAACUUUAAG